GGGGAAUCUUGCGCAAUGCGCGAAAGCGUGACGCAGCAACGCCGCGUGCGGGAAGACGGCCUUCGGGUUGUAAACCGCUUUCAGUUGGGACGAAGCUUUUGCGGUUAAUAGCCGUGGAGAGUGACGGUACCUUCAGAAGAAGCCCCGGCUAACUACGUGCCAGCAGCCGCGGUAAUACGUAGGGGGCAAGCGUUGUCCGGAAUUAUUGGGCGUAAAGAGCUCGUAGGCGGUCUGUCGCGUCGGAUGUGAAAAUCCAGGGCUCAACCCUGGACCUGCAUUCGAUACGGGCAGACUAGAGUUCGGUAGGGGAGACUGGAAUUCCUGGUGUAGCGGUGAAAUGCGCAGAUAUCAGGAGGAACACCGGUGGCGAAGGCGGGUCUCUGGGCCGAAACUGACGCUGAGGAGCGAAAGCGUGGGGAGCAAAC
rnacentral:rRNA from 1 species